GACGAACGCUGGCGGCGUGCCUAAUACAUGCAAGUCGAGCGGGCCUCUUCGGAGGCCAGCGGCGGACGGGUGAGUAACACGUGGGCAACCUGCCUGUAAGACUGGGAUAACACCGGGAAACCGGUGCUAAUACCGGAUAAUCCUUUCCCUCACAUGAGGGGAAGCUGAAAGACGGUUUUGGCUGUCACUUACAGAUGGGCCCGCGGCGCAUUAGCUAGUUGGUGAGGUAACGGCUCACCAAGGCGACGAUGCGUAGCCGACCUGAGAGGGUGAUCGGCCACACUGGGACUGAGACACGGCCCAGACUCCUACGGGAGGCAGCAGUAGGGAAUCUUCCGCAAUGGACGAAAGUCUGACGGAGCAACGCCGCGUGAGCGAAGAAGGCCUUCGGGUCGUAAAGCUCUGUUGUCAGGGAAGAACAAGUACCGGAGUAACUGCCGGUACCUUGACGGUACCUGACCAGAAAGCCACGGCUAACUACGUGCCAGCCGCCGCCGUAAUAC
rnacentral:rRNA from 1 species